rnacentral:lncRNA from 1 species
AAAAAUAUUAAAAAUCAUUUUUAGAAACUAGAAAUUAAAAGAGAAAUAAUGCAAUUGGUCCAAUAUUUUUUGGACCAAUAAUAAAAGAGAUAUGGAUUUUAGAAUAAAAUGGAAUUAAAAGGAAUAAAGAAAAUAAAAUCAGAAAAUAAAAUCAGAAAAUAAAAUCAGAAAAUAAGAAAAUACGAAAAAAGGAGAGGCGUUGGAUCCAGUCUCAUUAAUUGAGCUGGCACAUCACACGGCCUCUGAGCGCG